GGGGCUUUUCUGAUUUUUUCUGUCUUCUAUAAGAUUCCAACAUAACUUUGUUUUUGCCAAAAGACAUCUACUUAUGAUUUUCACUCAACUGUAAAGGAGAAAAAUUGUAACUUGGAAAUCUAAAAAUUGAGUUCAACCCAUCAACUGUUUCCGGUGGAUUUGUCUCCUCCAAAGAGUACGAGCGGAGCUUGCAGCAGUAAGCCGGGCAGAGCUUACGGCAGGCCCUGCAAGCGUAGAAAAUGCCUCCGAGGAUCUUGAAGCUUAAAGGUGUUUCUUCAUCUAGAAAUGGUAAAGCCAAGAAUCUUGUUGUUGCAAAAAUGAUGAAAGCAAGUUGUGAGCAAUUUGCAGAAUCCGUACAAACCAUGGCUGGUGUUAUUGGGAACCAGAACAAGUCGCGGCCUAGUUAUGUUAUAGACUUAAAGAAUUCAAGAAAGUGGUUGGUGAGAGAGCGUUCCAUGGUACUGAAGAACCCGUAGAAGCUGAAAAAGGGUAUAAAAAAGGAGUUUGACGCACAUUUAGUUGCUGAGGAAGAUAGAGUAUGCUUUGCUACAUAUAUGUUUCAGGAUAAUGCAGACGAUUAGUGGAAGUAUGAAAAGCGAAUGGGAGACGAAACAAGUAUGUCAUGAGCGGAGUUCGAAAAGUUGUUUCUUAACAUGUAUUUCCCGCCUACAAUCAGAUCCAUGAAGUGUGCUGAGUUUGCUACUUCGAAGCAAGGGACCAUGACGGUUACUCAGUUAGACAACCUAUUUGGACAAGUCUUAUUUUAAUUUUUCUAAACCAACUCUGUCUUUACAUAUAUUUCCACAUUUGAGUUACUAGAAAUGUCAAUAGUCUUCUAAAUUUUCUAAUUUUGGACCUUACUAGAUUAGUCCCGAAAUGUUAUCUAGCUUACAUUUUGUCUAUCACUCUAUUUUUAUUUUCGAGUGACGUACUGGGAGUUUAGCCUUGCUGACGGA